AGGUGAUUAUAGCGAUGGGGCUCACGUCUUACCAUUCCGAACAGAGAAGUUAAGCCCAUUAGCGCCGAUGGUACUGCCACAGGUGGGAGAGUAGGUCGUUGCCUUGCU
rnacentral:rRNA from 1 species